UUUCAUAGGCAGAGGCGACUUCGACCAAUGACAAUGUUUUACUUCGUCGAGAUACGUCAUAACGUGAAGCUCGUUUGAAGCAGACAGUCCGGGUAACGUCCCGCAGGAUAUCGACAUUCAGCGCUCACUGAAGAGAACCAGACUCAUCACGAGUAAAAAUAACGAUUUGGGACCCAGAAAGGAGACUCCGCUGAGGUCUGGACAGAGUGGACCAUUUCGACAACUUCUCCAUGAGUGUUUGAAAAAUAAGUAACAGAAUUUCAUAUGUAGACAGACUAGGAUGCUCAAGCAGUGUUUUCCCUAUAAUCCUGAUCGCUGCUACUAAAAUUUCCCACGAUCGUUAAACUAUACACUACAAAUGUUUUCACUCACACACUGUGAGCACAGUAACACUCAACGCUUGGCUCCCUUCCUCUGCUCGAUCUUCAAAGAACAUCUACGUGACAGGUGCUGUUAUAACAGCAGCGUAACUCUGAAUCAGGAGGUGCGUAACAUUUAGCGAGUGUUUGAUUGUCCGAGCGGUAGGAAGUGACGUUGAAUGCGAGCGGAGGAAAAUAUUCUGUCAGUAAAUGUGCUGUGUCAGUUACAGCAUGUCAGCUUCUCAAGACUAAGAAAAGUCUGUUUGUUAUUUCCCACCUGCUGGAAAAGUGAAGCCUGUCUGCGCUAGAAAACAUCUCCCCUCCCCUUCAGACUGCCAGCUGAGCAGGAACACUUCUACAGCAGGCUACAUCUUUUGGCUGCUAUGUAACUCAACAUUAGCUCAAUUUAUAGAAAGUAACUGGAAGCUGUAUUUUAUUACUGCCUACUUGUCCAAUGUUGAGAACAUCAGUUAGAAACUUAGACUAAAGUGGUGUAGCCUACAGCUGUGUCCUGUAGCCUACAGACAGGUAGGCUCCAUCCUACAUUAUUUUUCAGUUUUCAAAUGAGUCUGAAAAAGUGGUUGUUAGGAAAAGAAUGAACGGUGGUGAUUGGGGGACCUGAUGUUAUUAAAGCAAGUAGUUCUUUUUAGCUAAUGAGGAGACUUUUUGGAUUUGGAUGCAAAUAAAAUGCACCUCAGAAGGGAGCCUGUUGCCUAUAUUUUAUAUUAAUGUCUAUACAGAUAAAUGUUAGAAGCUGUGAAAUAAAGACACAAAAGGCAAACAUGAACAUCUAUAAUGAUUCUGACUGCUAUUGCAGUUAGCAUCACAUUAACUUUAGCUUUUAGGCCAGAAAGUCAGGAUCAUCUUUGGCAUUCAGCUCACAGACGGUUGCCUGGUUAAUCACAGGAUUUAUACACACCCAAAUACAGCACUACAGUGAAUUAGCUAAUGUUACACGCUAAAAGCCUAAUCUGAAGAAGGUGCUAAAAGGUUAGCCAGCGUGCAUUAAGACAUUAAAUACUGCUGAUAUCAGGGCAUAAAAUUAACAGCGGAGCAAAUCUCGUUGAACUACGUUCAAUGACAAUAAAGCUUUCUGAUUCUGAUUAAGCGGCAACCUAAUGGCUCUGCUCUGGCGAUGCUGUGAGGGUAGAAGGCAAAGUUACCAUUGUGUGUAAAUUGAGAACAAUACGUUGAUGUGUAGGAAUUUUUACAAGCAUGAUACAUCUUGUCUAUUUUUCAGGACAAGGCCUGGUGAGAGCCACUACAGAGGAUCAUAGCCAUCGUUGGAAUUCUGAAAGGACGUGGGUUGCCGGGAGGCGUGUCAGCUGCGAGGAGCUGAUUACACACACCUGCACGUGAUUUGCACUCCCUCGGGUUCCUGCCCUACUUAAGCAGCGGCCUGACAUCCUGUCCUCGCCGGAUUGUUAAGUGUCUCUAUCUCUACCGGACCCGUCCGUGACCAACUCACCUUUCCCGCCUCCUGGAUCUCACUCUCCUGCCUGUUACCUGUUUGCCUCUCUGCCUGCCCCGAUCCCCGCAGCCACCGCCAGCUCCUUGACUCAAUAAAACUCUGAGAACCA